rnacentral:rRNA from 1 species
UGAGGAGCUUGCUCUUCAAAUCGAGUGGCGAACGGGUGAGUAACGCGUGAGGAACCUGCCUCAAAGAGGGGGACAACAGUUGGAAACGACUGCUAAUACCGCAUAAGCCCACGGCUCGGCAUCGAGCAGAGGGAAAAGGAGCGAUCCGCUUUGAGAUGGCCUCGCGUCCGAUUAGCUAGUUGGUGAGGUGACGGCCCACCAAGGCGACGAUCGGUAGCCGGUCUGAGAGGAUGAACGGCCACAUUGGAACUGAGACACGGCCCAAACUCC